rnacentral:rRNA from 1 species
UACGAAGGGGGCUAGCGUUGCUCGGAAUCACUGGGCGUAAAGGGCGCGUAGGCGGCGCGGAUAGUCGGCGGUGAAAGCCCGGAGCUCAACUCCGGGUCGGCCGUCGAUACUUCCGGGCUUGAGCACUGUAGAGGCAGAUGGAAUUCCGGGUGUAGCGGUGGAAUGCGUAGAGAUCCGGAAGAACACCGGUGGCGAAGGCGGCCUGCUGGGCAGUGGCUGACGCUGAGGCGCGACAGCGUGGGGAGCAAACAGG